UACGGAAGGCAGCAGUGGGGAAUAUUGCACAAUGGGCGCAAGCCUGAUGCAGCCAUGCCGCGUGUAUGAAGAAGGCCUUCGGGUUGUAAAGUACUUUCAGUCGUGAGGAAGGUGUUAAGGUUAAUAACCUUAGCAAUUGACGUUAGCGACAGAAGAAGCACCGGCUAACUCCGUGCCAGCAGCCGCGGUAAUACGGAGGGUGCGAGCGUUAAUCGGAAUUACUGGGCGUAAAGGGCACGCAGGCGGUUAAUUAAGUUGGAUGUGAAAUCCCCGGGCUUAACCUGGGAAUGGCAUUCAAGACUGGUUAGCUAGAGUCUUGUAGAGGGGGUAGAAUUCCAUGUGUAGCGGUGAAAUGCGUAGAGAUGUGGAGGAAUACCGGCGGCGAAGGCGGCCCCUGGGACAAAGGACUGACGCUCAUGUGCGAAAGCGUGGGGAGCAAACGAGGGAUUAGAUA
rnacentral:rRNA from 1 species